AUUGAACGCUGGCGGCAGGCUUAACACAUGCAAGUCGAGCGGGGUGAUGGUGCUUGCACUAUCACUUAGCGGCGGACGGGUGAGUAAUGCUUAGGAAUCUGCCUAUUAGUGGGGACAACAUCGCGAAAGGGAUGCUAAUACCGCAUACGUCCUACGGGAGAAAGCAGGGGAUCACUUGUGACCUUGCGCUAAUAGAUGAGCCUAAGUCGGAUUAGCUAGUUGGUGGGGUAAAGGCCUACCAAGGCGACGAUCUGUAGCGGGUCUGAGAGGAUGAUCCGCCACACUGGGACUGAGACACGGCCCAGACUCCUACGGGAGGCAGCAGUGGGGAAUAUUGGACAAUGGGGGGAACCCUGAUCCAGCCAUGCCGCGUGUGUGAAGAAGGCCUUAUGGUUGUAAAGCACUUUAAGCGAGGAGGAGGCUCUUUUGGUUAAUACCCAAGAUGAGUGGACGUUACUCGCAGAAUAAGCACCGGCUAACUCUGUGCCAGCAGCCGCCGUAA
rnacentral:rRNA from 1 species